UAGUAAAAUGCCUGAAUAAAGGGUUAUCUUGAUAGGAUAAAAUAUGUAUAAAAAUACUUUUACUAU
rnacentral:tRNA from 1 species